CCUACGGGGGGCUGCAGUGAGGAAUAUUGGUCAAUGGGCGAAAGCCUGAACCAGCCAAAUCGCGUGAAGGAUGAAGGUAUUAUGUAUUGUAAACUUCUUUUAUCGGGGAAUAAAGUGCACCACGUGUGGUGUUUUGUAUGUACCCGAAGAAUAAGGAUCGGCUAACUCCGUGCCAGCAGCCGCGGUAAUACGGAGGAUCCAAGCGUUAUCCGGAUUUAUUGGGUUUAAAGGGUGCGUAGGCGGACUGUCAAGUCAGCGGUGAAAGUCCAUGGCUCAACCAUGGAAUUGCCGUUGAAACUGUCGGUCUUGAGUGUAGAUGAGGUAGGCGGAAUUCGUAGUGUAGCGGUGAAAUGCUUAGAUAUUACGAAGAACUCCAAUUGCGUAGGCAGCUUACCAGGCUACAACUGACGCUGAGGCACGAAGGUGUGGGGAUCAAACAGGAUUAGAUACCCCAGUAGUC
rnacentral:rRNA from 1 species